rnacentral:rRNA from 1 species
UACGGAGGGGACUAGCGUUGUUCGGAAUUACUGGGCGUAAAGCGCACGUAGGCGGAUUUGUAAGUCAGGGGUGAAAUCCCGGGGCUCAACCUCGGAACUGCCUUUGAUACUGCAAAUCUCGAGUCCGGAAGAGGUGAGUGGAAUUCCUAGUGUAGAGGUGAAAUUCGUAGAUAUUAGGAAGAACACCAGUGGCGAAGGGCGGCUAC